GACGUAGGGCGCGAGCGUUGUCCGGAUUUAUUGGGCCUAAAGAGCUCGUAGGCGGCUCAUUGCGUCAACCGUGAAAACCAGCAGCUCAACUGUUGGCUUGCGGUUGAUACGGGUGGGCUGGAGUUCGGUAGGGGAGACUGGAAUUCCUGGUGUAGCGGUGAAAUGCGCAGAUAUCAGGAGGAACACCGGUGGCGAAGGCGGGUCUCUGGGCCGAUACUGACGCUGAGGAGCGAAAGCGUGGGGAGCGAACAGG
rnacentral:rRNA from 1 species